rnacentral:rRNA from 1 species
UAUUGCACAAUGGGCGAAAGCCUGAUGCAGCAACGCCUCGUGAUGGAUGACGGCCUUCGGGUUGUAAACCUCUCUUAGUAGGGAAGAGGCGAAAGUGACGGUACCUGCAGAAAAAGCACCGGCUAACUACCGUCCAGCAGCCGCGGUAAUACGUAGGGUGCAAGCGUUGUCCGGAAUUAUUGGGCGUAAAGAGCUCGUAGGCGGCUUGUCGCGUCUGCUGUGAAAUCCCGGAGCUCAACUCCGGGCGUGCAGUGGGUACGGGCAGGCUAGAGUGCGGUAGGGGAGAUUGGAAUUCCUGGUGUAGCGGUGGAAUGCGCAGAUAUCAGGAGGAACACCGAUGGCGAAGGCAGAUCUCUGGGCCGCUACUGACGCUGAGGAGCGAAAGCAUGGGGAGCGAACA